rnacentral:lncRNA from 1 species
GUAAAUAUUAGCCCACAGUGGUAAAUAUUAGCCCACAUUGUAGCAAGUUUCACCCCAAUCGCUUUAAAAAUGAGGGAGAUAGGAGCCCCUGAAGUUUCCCCAGUAACAGUCAUUUAAUUAUGUGCAUGCAUAGUUUGGGAAGUGAGGAGCCAUAUGCUGCCCUAAACUACAUUUCCCAGACUGCCUCAGCUUCAAAAAGCACCAAUCAGGAUAGCGGAGAGAGAUCUGUCCCUCCCUAAUAGCAGCCAGAAUCUGCAAAGAGGAGGACUGACUGAUACAUCUCUCUCUAAUAAGUCUUGUAUAAUCAUGGACAUGAAGCAGAAAGAAAGAGCAUUGAGUUCUUGCCCAAAGAAGGAUAUACCGCUGCUGACAUCCACAGAAGUCUUAGAAAUGUAUAUGGUGAGGUGACAACUGAUGAGAGCAAUAUGUGAAUAUGAGUGGGAAAGUCUUAAAAAAGUGAAUCCAGUGCAGAAGAUAAACAAGGUAAUGGAAGACCACUGAUAGCAGUCACUAAUGAAAACCAAACCAAGGUGGAUGAUAUGAUUCACACAGACUAGUGUAUGACUGUCCAAGAGAUGAUUGAGGAACCUGACUGUGUUCACAGUAAUCUUGAGCAGAUUAUCAACAAUAUUGGAUGCAUGAAAGUGUGUGCCAAAUGAGUUCCUCAUCAUUUAGUAGCCAAUUUGAAAGAGAAGAGAUUACAUACUUGUUUAGAAUUGUUGCCAGCAUUUGAAGUUCAUGAGGGUACCUUUUCCAUGAAUGUUUGCAUUGAUAAUGAUACCAGAGCAUAUCUGUAUGACCCAAGGACCAAGACUCAGUCCAUGGACUAGUGGCACUUUACCUCUCCUAGACCAAAGAAAUUCAGAAGUCAGCAUUUAGUACAGAAGAUAAUAGCGAGUGUCUUCUAUCAUGACAAGAGGGUGGUUUUGCUUGAUUUCCUUGAGUGUGGUACAACAAUGAAUAGCGACGAUCACAUUGCAUCACUUCAGAAACGUCAAGAAUCUAUCCAUUAGAACAGUGGUUCCUAACCUUUUUUUUGAUCAGGGGUCACUUUGACUAGGGACCACUCUCCAACAUUAGUACACAAAGUGUUACAAAUAAGUUUUUGGUAAACGUUAGGUUCAGUUUGGUUAUUUAAGGUGUUGAUUCAGAAAAUUGCAUCGGAUAGACCACUUCAGCUCUAAUUUCUGAAACA